GCCAGUGUGGCACAGUGGUUUGAGUGCAGGACUACAAUUCUGGAGACCAGGAUUCGAUUCCCUCUCGGCCA
rnacentral:tRNA from 1 species